rnacentral:rRNA from 1 species
UACGUAGGGGGCUAGCGUUGUCCGGAAUCAUUGGGCGUAAAGCGCGUGUAGGCGGUCCGGUAAGUCCGCUGUGAAAGUCGGGGGCUCAACCCUCGGAUGCCGGUGGAUACUGUCGGGCUUGAGUACGGAAGAGGCGAGUGGAAUUCCUGGUGUAGCGGUGAAAUGCGCAGAGUAUCAAGGAGGAACACCAAUUGCGAAGGCAGCUCGCUGGGACGUUACUGACGCUGAGACGCGAAAGCGUGGGGAGCAAACAGG